ACAGUCGAUAACUAUAAACAUAGUUUGAGAGCAGUUAGUGUGUAUGUUAGAUAAAGGUGGUUUCAAAGCACCUUUAUAUAUUACAAAUAACAGCAUGUUUAAACGCUUUUCGUUACAAACCAGCAGCCCGAUGUCCGCAGAAGCUCAGCCGAGGGUGAGUGACUCUGCACGGGCAGCUGCAGGAAAGACCACCCGCUCAACAGGAUUGGAGGCUUCUCCUACAGCAGCAGCUAUGGAGAACAGCCCAACUGAGACGGGAAAGUCCAUCUGUGCAUUCUUCAACCGGACAUGGAAGUCUUUUAAGGAUCGUGUCCUCCUCUGGCGACGGGGCAACAAAGUGGGCCUAGAUCC
ensembl:processed_transcript